AUUGAACGCUGGCGGCUGGCCUAACACAUGCAAGUCGAACGAGUGGCGGACGGGUGAGUAAUGUCUGGGAAACUGCCUGGUGGAGGGGGAUAACUACUGGAAACGGUAGCUAAUACCGCAUACCAUCAGAUGUGCCCAGAUGGGAUUAGCUUGUUGGGGGGGUAACGCCUCACCAAGGCGACGAUCCCUAGCUGGUCUGAGAGGAUGACCAGCCACACUGGAACUGAGACACGGGACAGACUCCUACGGGAGGCAGCAGGGGGGAAUAUGGGACAAUGGGCGAAAGCCUGAGGAAGCCAUGCCGCGUGUAUGAAGAAGGCCUUCGGGUUGUAAAGUACUUUCUGCGGGGAGGCGGUACCCGCAGAAGAAGCACCGGCUAACUCCGUGCCAGCAGCCGCGGUAAUUC
rnacentral:rRNA from 1 species